UUGCGGAAACCAGUUGGAAAUGUCUCGAUCUUUGGUCUCAUUCUUUUUGGUUUGGAGGAGAUUCUGGAUGAAGAAUUUGUUUGUCCUUGUGAUCGUAUCUACAAUAAAUUAAUAUGUGCUUUUUGUUGCAUACUCCCUUGCGCAGGUUGCUUUGUUUUCACUUUUUGUUUCCUGGACCUGUCCUCAGAGAGAAAUGAUGGAAAUAUGUGCUGUAAAUGCACCUGGUAUAAAUGGCUGUACUCUGCUCUCACAGCUGUGAUAUGGCUGUUUCUCUUCUUUUUCGAUGGCCGAUACCUGGCCUGUGCCUGCUCAGAUUGGGAAGGUGUGUAUGCAACAAAUGCAACUUUGGGGAGUAUAAAAUGGUGCAAGCCGAUUAGAAAUGAAACGCCAGUGCUUGAGAGUCAGAAGAAAACUCUGAAGUGGAUCUCCAGGUCUCAGAUCAUAGCUUUAUUCAUCUUGGCUCUCAUCAUUCUUCUGACUGUCAUCUGCAAGUGCAUAACUAUGGUUAGAGGUAAAAAUCUCAGAAAGGAGGAGACACAAAACUGCACAACACAUCAAGAUGAAACUGUACGGGAGACUCAGGGAGAGGAAAAUCAGCACUGACCCUCAGGAAGUCAUGUGAUCAUAAACAGCGAUGCUCCCUUCUGAUUUCCUUUAUAGGAUUCGGACUGGGAUGGUGUGCUCACUAAAUCUGACACUUUUGGGAUUGGAAAAUGGUGCAAGCCGACUGGAAAUGAAACCUCUGAGAUCGAGACACAGCAGAGGACUCUGAAGUUGAUGUACAUAUCUCAGCUUACAGGUUUUAGCCUGAUGAUAUUGGUUAUCAUUGCUUUAGCAACAUUCAAGUAUUGCAGGCAGAAAAAAACACAACAGGUGAGGAGCAACACCAAAGAGCGGCAGCUGUGCCACUGGCUGAGAAUUGUUUAUGACUCAGUGAUUGGAUGGUUUUGAGUUCAAAUCCCAGGACUGUCAGGAAGAACAUUAACCUUCGACUGCUCAGUGCUGUAGUGUCCUGACUUUAGAUAAAAAUAUCUGUCUUUUUAAAUUCACAAAAUUACAUGCUCUAAAAUGUAAUACGGGUAGUCGUCGACUUACGACUGCGUUUGGUUACGACUGACUGGUCAUAAACCGAUUUGGUCGUAAGUCGGCCUAUGUUAAAUGAACAUUUAUAUUGUGAUGUGUAAUGAUAUUGUAAUCAUCUUAAAGUCUUAUUUUAUCAACAUUUUCUUAUUUCAUUACCUUGGCUCAUUAUUUGGUUUAAGUCAAACACUGCAUACUACACUGCGUACAGUACAAUUCAUUUAAUAUGUGCAAAACAAAAAAUACGAAAUACAGGUGUGAAAAAUAGAAAACAUUUUAGUUUGAAACAUACCAAAAUACAAAUGUAAAACAUAGCAAAAUACAAAACUUAGUGACCGCUGGCAUCACUGGUGCUUGGCUGUGGGUCGUCUACAUCAUCAUCAGCUGUUGCAGUGCUCACGCUGGAGGGAGCAUUUGCUCGUUUCAUAAACCACGAGCUGGGGCGGAAACUGUUGUACAUGGGGAGAGGCUGGAUGCUGGGUGGGGCCAGGAGCUGGGGUGAAAACUGUUGUACGUGGCGAGAGGCUGGAUGCUGGGUGGGGCCAGGAGCUGGGGCGGAAACUGUUGUACGCAGCGAGAGGCUAGAUGCUAGGCGGGGCCAGGAGCUGGGGCGGAAACUGUCGUACACUCAGCUAGCUCAGCUGGGAAACACUUGCCAGCCAUAACCAGACGGUCAUAAAGUCGAUCGGUCGUAAGUUGCAUAGGUCGUAAGUCGACGACUACCUGUAUUCAGAGGGAUAGUAUCUAUCUCUCUCUCUCGCACGCCAUAACCUGCAGACAGGUAAAAACCACAGAUUAAGUUCUCUUUUCUCUCUGUUUCACCCUUCUCCUUCUGUAUUUCUUGAUCCUCUUCAUAUUAUACUCAGUGCAGACAAUGCUAUCAGUUAGACAUUUAUAUUAUAAUUAUUUUUGACAUUAUCUUGUCAUUUCUAUUAAUGAAUUAAUUUAUUGUCUUGUGAUUUUUUCCCCCUUUUAGAUAUGUUUACUUUGUGCAGUUAAGUAAUCUCAGACAAACCUCCUGUAAUGUUCUUACCGGUAUCUUCUCUUAUAUUUAAAAUACAAAAUAAAAGGAACACAAAUUAACUAAUGCAUUUAACUUUGUUCUGUUAAAUUGUUUAAGCAGUAAAAAAUAUUUCUGUAUCAGAACUGUAUCACCCCAGUUCCCGAAACACACAGGCUGAUUCUGUGACCCUCAUACCUCCUGCCAAUAACCUUCAAUCCAAGCCAGAGCCCAUACUCCAUUGUCCUGUUUCAUUCAUACCAUUGUAUGGGACUUUGACAGGGAAAUAGCCAACACGCUAUCUGAAGAACAUGAACCUGAAGGAAAGUUCUCAUUAAAUACAGAAGGGGUGAUCUCGUCUCGUCUCGUCUUCUUCCGCUUAUCCGGGACCGGGUCGCGGAGGCAGCAGUCUAAGCAUGGAAGCCCAAACUUCCCUUUCCCCAGACACCUCGGCCAGCUCCUCGGGAAGAACACCGAGGCGUUCCCAGGCCAGCCGAGAGACAUAGUCCCUCCAGCAUGUCCUGGGUCUUCCCCGGGGCCUCCUCCCGGGGGACAUGCCUGGAACACCUCCCCAGGGAGGCGUCCAGGAGGCAUCCGAAAAAGAUGCCCGAGCCACCUCAGCUGGUUCCUCUCGAUGUGGAGGAGCAGCGGCUCUACUCCGAGCUCCUCCCGAGUGACUGUGCUUCUCACCCUAUCUCUAAGGGAGCACCCAGCCACCCUGCGAAGGAAACUCAUUUCAGCCGCUUGUAUCCGCAAUCUUGUUCUUUCUGUCAUUACCCAAAGCUCAUGACUAUAGGUGAGAGUCGGAACGUAGAUCGACCGGUAAAUUGAGAGCUUCGCCUUUUGGCUCAGCUCCUUCUUCACCACGACGGACCGGUAAAGCGACCGCAUCACUGCAGAGGCUGCACCGAUCCGCCUGUCGAUCUCACACUCCAUCCUUCCCUCACUCGUGAACAAGAUCCCGAGAUACUUAAACUCCUCUACUUGAGGCAGGACUUCUCCACCAACCUGGAGAGGGCAAGCCACCCUUUUCCGGUCGAGAACCAUGGCCUCGGACUUGGAGGUGCUGAUUCUCAUCCCAGCCGCUUCACACUCGACUGCAAACCGCCCCAGUGCAUGCUGAAGGUCCUGGUUUGAAGAAGCCAACAGGACAACAUCAUCCGCAAAAAGCAGAGAUGAAAUCCUGUGGUUCCCAAACAGGAUUCCUUCCGGCCCCUGGCUGCGCCUAGAAAUUCUGUCCAUAAAAAUUAUGAACAGAACCGGUGACAAAGGGCAGCCCUGCCGGAGUCCAACAUGCACUGGGAACAGGUCUGACUUACUGCCGGCAAUGCGAAUCAGACUCCUGCUCCGUUCGUACAGGGACCGGACAGCCCUUAGCAAAGAGCCCCGAACCCCAUACUCCCGAAGCACCCCCCACAGAAUACCACGGGGGACAUGGUUGAAUGCCUUCUCCAGAUCCACAAAGCACAUGUGGACUGGUUGGGCAAACUCCCAUGAACCCUCGAGCACCCUAUGAAGGGUAUAGAGCUGGUCCAGUGUUCCGCGACCAGGACGAAAACCGCAUUGUUCCUCCUGGAUCCAAGGUUCGACUAUCGGUCGAAUUCUCCUCUCCAGUACCCUGGAGUAAACUUUCCCUGGGAGGCUGAGAAGUGUGAUUCCCCUAUAAUUGGAGCACACUCUCCGGUCCCCUUUCUUAAAAAGAGGGACCACCACCCCAGUCUGCCACUCCAGAGGCACUGUCCCCGACCGCCACGCAAUGCUGCAGAGGUGUGUCAACCAAGACAGCCCCACAACAUCCAGAGACUUGAGAUACUCAGGGCGGAUCUCAUCCACCCCCGGUGCCUUGCCACCGAGGAGCUUGCAAACCACCUCAGUGACUUCGGCUUGGGUAAUGGACGAGUCCACCUCUGAGUCAUCAGCCUCAGUCUCCUCAGUGGAAGACAUGACGGUGGGAUUGAGGAGAUCCUCAAAGUAUUCCUUCCACCGCCCGACAAUGUCCCCAGUCGAGGUCAACAGCUCCCCACCCGCACUGUAAACAGUGUUGGCAGAGUACUGCUUCCCCCUCCUGAGGCGCCGGACGGUUUGCCAGAAUUUCUUCGAGGCCGACCGAUAGUCCUUCUCCAUGGCCUCCCCGAACUCCUCCCAGUUCCGAGUUUUUGCCUCCGCAACUGCCCGAGCUGCAGCACGCCUGGCCUGCCGAUACCCGUCGGCUGCCUCAGGAGUCCCGGAGGUCAACAUGGCCCGAUAGGACUCCUUCUUCAGCUUGACGGCAUCCCUUACUUCCGGUGUCCACCACCGGGUUCGGGGAUUGCCGCCACGACAGGCACCGGAGACCUUGCGGCCACAGCUCCGAACAGCUGCGUCCACAAUGGAGGUAGAGAACAUGGUCCACUCAGACUCAAUGUCCCCCGCCUCCCUCGGAAGCUGGGAAAAGCUCUCCCGGAGGUGGGAGUUAAAGACCUCCCCAACAGAGUGCUCGGCCAGACGUUCCCAGGGGUGAUCACAAUUUACAAAUAGAAAAUGUGAUGUGGUAAGCUUUUGAACAACUGUAGAACAUCAGUAGUUCAAAACUAGUUCAUGGAGUUAAAAAGAAUAAAAAGUAAGUCUUACUACUUAGUUAAAGGAACAGUCCAGUUGUUUUCAACCUCAUCUCUAAUGACUAGCGUCGAGAUAAAAUUGAAAAUAUCUGACAAAAAAUUCAAACUACUAAUUUAAGGUCAGACAACUUAAGUGCCAGUUUAAGUGACCCUGUAGUUAACAAUAUAACUGUAUCAGAUCUUUUGUCCUUGCAAAAGAAGCUACAAUCAUGUGAUUUCUUUUUUCUACUGUUUUGUCCCUGCUUUUGGUUGCUUGAUUUGUACAUUGUUCUUUGUGGAUCUGUCACCAUCAAAAGAGAAUGAAGAGGGGGCACAGAAUGAAGAGAUGGUGUGUAACUCCAGAGAUAAAGGACAAAGAAUUUUCUACUCUAUUCUCAUUGUAUUAAUCUGGCUGUCCCUUUUUCAGGCUGAUGGUCGAUAUGUGGCUUGUGGGGGGUCAGACUGGGAUGGUGUGUUCAGUAAAUCUGACACUUUUGGGAUUGUAAAAUGGUGCAAGCCAACUGGAAAUGAAACCUCUGAGAUCGAGACACAGCAGAAGACUCUGGAGUUGAUGUACAUAUCUCAGAUUGCAGGUUAUAUCCUGAUUAUGGGGAUUAUCACUGCAUUAGUAGCGUUCAAGUAUUUCUGGCAGAAUAAACCACAACAGGACUCUGAGGAGCAACACCAAAGAGCAGAAGCUGUGCCAUUGCUCGAGAAUCAGUCAUGAAACAGUGAUUGGAUGGUUGUGAGUUCAAAUCCCAGGACUGUCAGGAAGAACAUUAACCUUCAACUGCUCAGUGCUGUAGUGUCCUAACUUUAGAUAAAAAUAUCUGUCUGUUUUUAAAUUAACAAAAUGAUAUGCUCUAAAAUGUAAUAUUCAGAGGGACAGUAUAUCAGUUAGACAUUUAUUAUCAUUAUUUUUGACAUUAUCUUGUGAUUUCUAUGAAUGAACUGAUUUAUUAUUAUCUUGUGAUUUUCCUUUUAGAUGUUUUUACUUUGUGCAGUUAAGUAAUCUCAGACAAACCUCCUGUA